UACGGGGGGAGCAAGCGUUGUUCGGAUUUACUGGGUUUAAAGGGUGCGUAGGUGGGCUGGUAAGUCAGUGGUGAAAUCCCCAAGCUUAACUUGGGAACUGCCAUUGAUACUAUCAGUCUUGAAUACCGUGGAGGUUAGCGGAAUAUGUCAUGUAGCGGUGAAAUGCUUAGAUAUGACAUAGAACACCAAUUGCGAAGGCAGCUGGCUACACGAAUAUUGACACUGAGGCACGAAAGCGUGGGGAUCAAACAGG
rnacentral:rRNA from 1 species